rnacentral:rRNA from 1 species
CGCGUAGGUGGUAGUGCAAGUCUGAGGUGGAAUCCCAGGGCUUAACCCUGGAACUGCCUUGGAAACUGCAUUACUUGAGUCAGUGAGGGGAGGGUAGAAUUCCUGGUGUAGCGGUGAAAUGCGUAGAUAUCAGGAGGAAGGCCGGUGGCGAAGGCGGCCCUCUGGCGCUGAACUGACACUGAGGCGCGAAAGCGUGGGGAGCAAACAGGAUUAGAUACCCUGGUAGUCCACGCCCUAAACGGUGGGUACUAGGUGUAGGGCUCGUAAGGGUUCUGUGCCGAAGCGAAGCAUUAAGUACCCCGCCUGGGGAGUACGGCCGCAAGGUUGAA